rnacentral:rRNA from 1 species
GACGAACGCUGGCGGCGUGCUUAACACAUGCAAGUCGAACGGUAAGGCUCCAGCUUGCUGGGGUACACGAGUGGCGAACGGGUGAGUAACACGUGGGUGACCUGCCCUGCACUUCGGGAUAAGCCUGGGAAACUGGGUCUAAUACCGGAUAGGACCGCACUGUGAGGGUGUGGUGGAAAGUUUUUUCGGUGUGGGAUGGGCCCGCGGCCUAUCAGCUUGUUGGUGGGGUAAUGGCCUACCAAGGCGGCGACGGGUAGCCGGCCUGAGAGGGUGGACGGCCACAUUGGGACUGAGACACGGCCCAGACUCCUACGGGAGGCAGCAGUGGGGAAUAUUGCACAAUGGGCGGAAGCCUGAUGCAGCGACGCCGCGUGGGGGAUGACGGCCUUCGGGUUGUAAACUCCUUUCACCAUCGACGAAGGGUUUCUGACGGUAGAUGGAGAAGAAGCACCGGCUAACUACGUGCCAGCAGCCGCGGUAAUACGUAGGGUGCGAGCGUUGUCCGGAAUUACUGGGGCGUAAAGAGCUCGUAGGUGGUUUGUCGCGUCGUCUGUGAAAUUCCGGGGCUUAACUCCGGGCGUGCAGGCGAUACGGGCAUAACUUGAGUACUGUAGGGGAGACUGGAAUUCCUGGUGUAGCGGUGAAAUGCGCAGAUAUCAGGAGGAACACCGGUGGCGAAGGCGGGUCUCUGGGCAGUAACUGACGCUGAGGAGCGAAAGCAUGGGGAGCGAACAGG